rnacentral:rRNA from 1 species
AUUGAACGCUGGCGGAAUGCUUUACACAUGCAAGUCGAACGGCAGCACGGGGCAACCUGGUGGCGAGUGGCGAACGGGUGAGUAAUACAUCGGAACGUGCCCAAUCGUGGGGGAUAACGUAGCGAAAGUUACGCUAAUACCGCAUACGAUCUACGGAUGAAAGCGGGGGAUCGCAAGACCUCGCGCGAAUGGAGCGGCCGAUGUCAGAUUAGGUAGUUGGUGGGGUAAAGGCUCACCAAGCCGACGAUCUGUAGCUGGUCUGAGAGGACGACCAGCCACACUGGGACUGAGACACGGCCCAGACUCCUACGGGAGGCAGCAGUGGGGAAUUUUGGACAAUGGGCGCAAGCCUGAUCCAGCCAUUCCGCGUGCAGGAUGAAGGCCUUCGGUUGUAAACUGCUUUGUUACGGAACGUAAACGGUUACCG